UACGUAGGGGGCAAGCGUUAUCCGGAUUUACUGGGUGUAAAGGGAGCGUAGGCGGCUGUGUAAGCCAGAAGUGAAAGCCCGGGGCUCAACUCCGGGACUGCUUUUGGAACUACAUGGCUUGAUUGCAGGAGAGGCAAGUGGAAUUCCUAGUGUAGCGGUGAAAUGCGUAGAUAUUAGGAGGAACACCAGUGGCGAAGGCGGCUUGCUGGACUGUAAAUGACGCUGAGGCUCGAAAGCGUGGGGAGCAA
rnacentral:rRNA from 1 species